UACGUAGGGUGCAAGCGUUGUCCGGAUUUAUUGGGCGUAAAGAGCUCGUAGGCGGUUUGUCGCGUCGGAUGUGAAAACCUAUGGCUUAACCAUGGGCCUGCAUUCGAUACGGGCAAACUAGAGUUCGGUAGGGGAGACUGGAACUCCUGGUGUAGCGGUGAAAUGCGCAGAUAUCAGGAAGAACACCGGUGGCGAAGGCGGGUCUCUGGGCCGAUACUGACGCUGAGGAGCGAAAGCGUGGGGAGCAAACAGGAUUAGAAACCCCAGUAGUCC
rnacentral:rRNA from 1 species